CUACAACGAUGCUAACUCAGACGUGAGAGCCAUGUUCCCAUGGUAACCGUCAGUGACACCUACUGACCAGUGCUUCCGGGUAACAAUCAGUGACACCUGCUGACCAGUGGCGCCAAAUGACAGUAGUAAAAAGCCAAAAAACAAACGUGGCUCUUAAUUUGUGGUUUUCGGACAGCAAUAACAAAGUAUGAGUUUUUUGAGACAGAGACAGCAGUGACGACGUUGUCGAUCGACAAAUUUUAUUUGUCCAAGAAAACUAUCCUGAGCGCUGACACCCACAUCAAGAGGCCACAGCAUCUCGACUCUCCCACAGGCCUGUAUGAGACAGACCAACAUACUGAAGAUGCCAAAGGCCAAAUUGUUUUGUCAAGCAUCCAGCCUGGUGGGCUCUGCUGGGGAGCUACGUUUGCAGGACCAGAAUGGAGAAGUAGAUUGAUCACUGUGACCUAAGACCCUUCUGAAGCACUUAUCAGCGGGAAAACAGCCUGUUAGGAGAAGAAAAACAGCUCAGGUCUCUCUUGAGGGAAGAUGAGAAUGUACAGUGGCAUUGUGGUGGGAUUCCCCUGGGUCAGCCGGCAGACCUGUUUGUAAUGGAGGAAAGUAAAGUUACAGUAACUCUGUAGUCCACAAUAAACAUUGUAGGCCCUCUUUACUUUUGAAAAUAUUCAUGCAGCCUAGGUCUAGAGAUGGCCUCUGCAGGAAAUGUAAUGUGCAACAUCUAAUAAUACUACUAUUUCUAUUGUUACUUAUUCUGUUAAUACUACAACUACCACGACUGCUGCUAUUACUGCUACUUCUGCUAGUAUUACUAUGACAACUGACAACAUGACUACUUCUACUAGUAUUAUUACUAUGACUGCAACUACUUCUGCUACUGAGCACUACUACUAUUACUGCAACUGCCGAAAUAAUACUGUUGCAACUUCAAUUACUACUGGAUUUAUCACUACUAUUAAUAUGUAUAUUGCAAAUAAUGCU